UAAGGAAUAUUGGUCAAUGGACGCAAGUCUGAACCAGCCAUGCCGCGUGAAGGAUGAAGGUCCUCUGGAUUGUAAACUUCUUUUAUCUGGGACGAAAACGGGAUUUUUAUCUCAAUUGACGGUACCAGAGGAAUAAGCACCGGCUAACUCCGUGCCAGCAGCCGCGGUAAUACGGAGGGUGCGAGCGUUAUCCGGAUUUACUGGGUUUAAAGGGUGCGUAGGUGGGCUUAUAAGUCAGUGGUGAAAUCUCCGAGCUUAACUUGGAAACUGCCGUUGAUACUAUUUGUCUUGAAUAUUGUGGAGGUAAGCGGAAUAUGUCAUGUAGCGGUGAAAUGCUUAGAUAUGACAUAGAACACCAAUUGCGAAGGCAGCUUACUACACAAUCAUUGACGCUGAGGCACGAAAGCGUGGGGAUCAAACA
rnacentral:rRNA from 1 species